UGGUCUAAACCCCACAGACAGUUUUUUCCAGCAAGCUCUUGGAACUUCUCUCCUUCCCCGUUGCUACUUCCCUAACUAAAGCCACCACCAUUGGUCGUCUUUCAGCUACCCUCUCUGCUGCAGCCGGAGGGAGGUUUCCAGAGCAAAUUGGUCCUCUCCCCUGUUAAGACCUCCCGAGGGCCCCUCACAUCGCCGUGGAUAAAGCUCAGACUCUCCCAAGGUCUGGAGGGCCCGCGUGCCCUGCCCAGGUGUCCAGCCCGCUCCUGCUGCUCCACCCCCUCCUCCCUCCCGCCCUUCUUUCACAUCAUGGCCUAGCCAUCUCUCCUCCGGGAAGGCUUUCUGGCCACUUGGUCUCCAGUCCGGGUAGGUGAGCACCCCCUGCUCCCCUGUGCUUCCCCGGCCAGCACUCGUGGUACACCUGUCAUUGCCCGUUCUCUGUUCUUCACCAGAGUGAGGCGCCGUCUGUCUCCUUCUCCACUGUUCGCCCAGCACGUGGGGAGGAUGCUGAGGCUGAGCACUCACCCGCUCGUUUAUCCUGUGUAACGAUGUUGGUUGUCUUCACGACCCCGCUGAGCCUGGGGCUUCACAUGCAAUUUCCGGGCCCUCUCUGGUCUCUGCUGUGAGGAGCAGGGACGAGCAGGGCAGGUGGCCUUGUCCCUGGGUUCCGGAGCCAGUAUCUGCUGAGGUCAUGCUGGCACCCGCGGCUGAGGUCUGUACCUGUGCUCAUAAGGACCUCCACUGUGAGGCUGACCCAUCCCAACCCCACGCCCCCCAACUGGAUCCGAUGAAUCUGGAGUCACAGGGCAUUAUGAUUUAAGAUCAAUGAAAAAUAGAUCAAUUUAGUGUUUCCACAUUUUAUACACACACCCCCAUGUAAACUAAGGCAGCGUGUGGCAAAACAGCCCAGGGCUGACAAAAACAACUCAAGAUUCACAUUUACUUUAUGACAUUUCUGUCUACAGAUUUGACUUGGGAAAAUUAAACUGAGUAGAUAGAAUAGCCAUUUAAAAAUCACAGUGGUAAAGCUAUGAUCAGAAAGUUUGAUAUGUGUUAUGCACAAAAAAAUGUAUGGGAACCAAUUGAUCCC
rnacentral:lncRNA from 1 species